UUCUACGGCCGUACUACCCUGAACACGCCCGAUCUCCUCUGAUCUCAGAAACUAAGCAGGGUCGGGCCUGGUUAGUACUUGGAUGGGAGAAAUGCAGAAACUUGGGCUCCCCCACUCCAGAGGGACUGGAACAGAAG
rnacentral:rRNA from 1 species